rnacentral:lncRNA from 1 species
CGAUCCCAGUAGCCGCCGCCUCUGAAGCAGAAGCAACAACAACUGCUCCUGUUGAGGUGAAGGAGAAAGAGAUAGUUGUUGAAGCAGAAGCAAAGAAAGAGGAAGAACCAGCACCAGCACCAGCACCAGCACCUGCACCUGCACCUGCACCUGCACCUGCACCUGCACCUGCGGCGGCACCUGCAGCUGAGGUGGCACCUGCUGAGGUAGCACCUGCAGCUGACGUGGCACCUGCCAAGGUGGAAGAAGCACCUGCAGCAGUAGCAGCACCAGAACCACCAAAAGCUUGAUGAAUCUUUCAAUUUGUUUGUCUCUCUGUGUAAGAGUUGAUUUUUUAUUUUAUUUUUCUUUGUCUGUUGAUUUUUCUGUGUUUUGUGGUCACUGUAUAAGAAAGAAGACAAAAACAUGAUUUGUUAUAUUUUUUGUUUGUGUUUUUCUCCCUUCUCUCUUUCUCGUGUUAGUUUGUACUUUGUACAAUAUUCUAUGUACAUUUUUCAAAGUUUUUCCUUUUGAUUCUUCAAUACUAUAAAAUGUGCCUUGAUAUAUAUGGUUUCUCAUUUCCUUUUUUCUCAGCUGACUU